UACGUAGGUGGCAAGCGUUGUCCGGAUUUACUGGGUAUAAAGGGCGUGUAGCCGGGCUGACAAGUCAGAUGUGAAAUCCGGGGGCUCAACCCCCGAACUGCAUUUGAAACUGUUGGUCUUGAGUAUCGGAGAGGCAGGCGGAAUUCCUAGUGUAGCGGUGAAAUGCGUAGAUAUUAGGAGGAACACCAGUGGCGAAGGCGGCCUGCUGGACGACAACUGACGGUGAGGCGCGAAAGCGUGGGGAGCAAACAGG
rnacentral:rRNA from 1 species